UGAAAUAGCUCAGUCGGUAGAGCAACGCACUCGUAAUGCGUAGGUCGCAGGUUCGAUUCCUGUUUUCAGC
rnacentral:tRNA from 1 species